AUUGAACGCUGGCGGCAGGCCUAACACAUGCAAGUCGAACGGUAACAGGAAGCAGCUUGCUGCUUUGCUGACGAGUGGCGGACGGGUGAGUAAUGUCUGGGAAACUGCCUUAUGGAGGGGGAUAACUACUGGAAACGGUAGCUAAUACCGCAUAACGUCGCAAGACCAAAGAGGGGGACCUUCGGGCCUCUUGCCAUCGGAUGUGCCCAGAUGGGAUUAGCUAGUAGGUGGGGUAAAGGCUCACCUAGGCGACGAUCCCUAGCUGGUCUGAGAGGAUGACCAGCCACACUGGAACUGAGACACGGUCCAGACUCCUACGGGAGGCAGCAGUGGGGAAUAUUGCACAAUGGGCGCAAGCCUGAUGCAGCCAUGCCGCGUGUAUGAAGAAGGCCUUCGGGUUGUAAAGUACUUUCAGCGGGGAGGAAGGGAGUAAAGUUAAUACCUUGGCUCAUUGACGUUACCCGCAGAAGAAGCACCGGCUAACUCCGUG
rnacentral:rRNA from 1 species